ACUAAGCCAUGCGAGUCUUUGUAGUAAUACAAGGCAGACGGCUCAGUAACACGUAGUCAACCUACCCUAUGGACGAGAAUAAUCUCGGGAAACUGAGCAUAAUUCUUGAUAGAUCAUAAUGCCUGGAAUGGUUUAUGGUUAAAAUGAUUCGUCGCCAUAGGAUGGGACUGCGGCCUAUCAGCUUGUUGGUGAGGUAAUGGCCCACCAAGGCGAUUACAGGUACGGGCUCUGAGAGGAGAAGCCCGGAGAUGGGUACUGAGACACGGACCCAGGCCCUAUGGGGCGCAGCAGGCGAGAAAACUUUGCAAUGUGCGAAAGCACGACAAGGUUAAUCCGAGUGAUUUCUGCUAAAGAAAUCUUUUGCCAGUCGUAAAACCGCUGGUGAAUAAGGGGUGGGCAAGUUCUGGUGUCAGCCGCCGCGGUAAAACCAGCACCUCAAGUGGUCAGGAUGAUUAUUGGGCCUAAAGCAUCCGUAGCCUGCUUCGUAAGUUUUCGGUUAUAUCCAUGUGCUCAACGCAUGGGCUGCCGAAAAUACUGCAUAGCUAGGGAGUGGGAGAGGUAGACGGUACUCAGUAGGUAGGGGUAAAAUCCUUUGAUCUAUUGAUGACCACCUGUGGCGAAGGCGGUCUACCAGAACACGUUCGACGGUGAGGGAUGAAAGCUGGGGGAGCAAACCGGAUUAGAUACCCGGGUAGUCCCAGCUGUAAACGAUGCAGACUAGAUGAUGCAUUGGCAUAAUAGCCAUUGCAGUGUCUCAGGG
rnacentral:rRNA from 1 species